rnacentral:misc_RNA from 1 species
CUGAGGUACGCUCGGCGUCGCUUCGGCGCGCCGGUUGCCCGCCCUUAUGUCAUACGUGCCGGAGCCGCUCCCCCCUGCCUUCUGGGCGGGGUGUGGGCGGUGACGGGAACAUCACUUCGGUCGAGGUGUUGCGUCCCGGGGGGGUCCUCCCCCUCGGAGCGCGACCGCGGCCGGCCGUAUCUUUACACUCUUUUAUGAGAAACAUGAAGUCUGAAGCAAAAACAAAAUAAAGCAA